rnacentral:rRNA from 1 species
UACGUAGGGUGCGAGCGUUGUCCGGAAUUACUGGGCGUAAAGAGCUCGUAGGUGGUUUGUCGCGUUGUUCGUGAAAACUCACAGCUCAACUGUGGGCGUGCGGGCGAUACGGGCAGACUGGAGUACUGCAGGGGAGACUGGAAGUUCCUGGUGUAGCGGUGGAAUGCGCAGAUAUCAGGAGGAACACCGGUGGCGAAGGCGGGUCUCUGGGCAGUAACUGACGCUGGAGGAGCGAAAAGCCGUGGGGAGCGAAACAGG